rnacentral:rRNA from 1 species
AAGCCACACUAAACGUUGAGUUGGCCGGUGUGCUGACAAACGAACAGGCGUUUUAAGGAUACGUUCGUUGGGUAGGGGAGCGUUCUGUAAGCCGUUGAAGGUGGUCUGUGAGGGCUGCUGGAGGUAUCAGAAGUGCGAAUGCUGACAUAAGUAACGAUAAUGCGGGUGAAAAACCCGCACGCCGGAAGACCAAGGGUUCCUGUCCAACGUUAAUCGGGGCAGGGUGAGUCGACCCCUAAGGCGAGGCUGAAAAGCGUAGUCGAUGGGAAACAGGUUAAUAUUCCUGUACUUGGUGUUACUGCGAAGGGGGGACGGAGAAGGCUAGGCUAGCCGGGCGACGGUUGUCCCGGUUUAAGCAUGUAGGCGGAGUGACCAGGUAAAUCCGGUUGCUUAUCAACGCUGAGGUGUGAUGACGAUGCACUACGGUGCAGAAGUAGUUGAUGCCAUGCUUCCAGGAAAAGCCUCUAAGCAUCAGGUAACAUGAAAUCGUACCCCAAACCGACACAGGUGGUCAGGUAGAGAAUACUCAGGCGCUUGAGAGAACUCGGGUGAAGGAACUAGGCAAAAUGGUGCCGUAACUUCGGGAGAAGGCACGCUGGCAUUAGGUAAAGGGACUUGCUCCCGGCGCCGAAGCCAGUCGCAGAUACCAGCUGGCUGCAACUGUUUAAUAAAAACACAGCACUGUGCAAACACGAAAGUGGACGUAUACGGUGUGACGCCUGCCCGGUGCUGGAAGGUUAAUUGAUGGGGUCAGCCGCAAGGCGAAGCUCUUGAUCGAAGCCCCAGUAAACGGCGGCCGUAACUAUAACGGUCCUAAGGUAGCGAAAUUCCUUGUCGGGUAAGUUCCGACCUGCACGAAUGGCGUAAUGAUGGCCAGGCUGUCUCCACCCGAGACUCAGUGAAAUUGAACUCGCUGUGAAGAUGCAGUGUACCCGCGGCAAGACGGAAAGACCCCGUGAACCUUUACUAUAGCUUGACACUGAACAUUGAGCCUUGAUGUGUAGGAUAGGUGGGAGGCAUAGAAGUGUGGACGCCAGUCUGCAUGGAGCCAACCUUGAAAUACCACCCUUUAAUGUUUGAUGUUCUAACUCGGCCCCGUAAUCCGGGGUGAGGACAGUGUCUGGUGGGUAGUUUGACUGGGGCGGUCUCCUCCCAAAGAGUAACGGAGGAGCACGAAGGUUAGCUAAUCACGGUCGGACAUCGUGAGGUUAGUGCAAAGGCAUAAGCUAGCUUGACUGCGAGAGUGACGGCUCGAGCAGGUACGAAAGUAGGUCUUAGUGAUCCGGUGGUUCUGAAUGGAAGGGCCAUCGCUCAACGGAUAAAAGGUACUCCGGGGAUAACAGGCUGAUACCGCCCAAGAGUUCAUAUCGACGGCGGUGUUUGGCACCUCGAUGUCGGCUCAUCACAUCCUGGGGCUGAAGUAGGUCCCAAGGGUAUGGCUGUUCGCCAUUUAAAGUGGUACGCGAGCUGGGUUUAGAACGUCGUGAGACAGUUCGGUCCCUAUCUGCCGUGGGCGUUGGAAGAUUGAGAGGGGCUGCUCCUAGUACGAGAGGACCGGAGUGGACGAAUCACUGGUGUUCGGGUUGUCAUGCCAAUGGCAUUGCCCGGUAGCUAAAUUCGGAAGAGAUAACCGCUGAAAGCAUCUAAGCGGGAAACUUGCCUCGAGAUGAGUCUUCCCUGGGGCUUUAAGCCCCCUGAAGGAACGUUAAAGACGAUGACGUUGAUAGGCUGGGUGUGUAAGUGCAGCGAUGCAUUGAGCUAACCAGUACUAAUGAACCGUGAGGCUUAACCUU